CCUUAGAGUUUGAUCCUGGCUCACGAUGAACGCUAGCUACAGGCUUAACACAUGCAAGUCGAGGGGCAGCAUGGUCUUAGCUUGCUAAGGCCGAUGGCGACCGGCGCACGGAGUGAGUAACACGUAUCCAACCUGCCGUCUACUCUUGGACAGCCUUCUGAAAGGAAGAUUAAUACAAGAUGGCAUCAUGAGUCCGCAUGUUCACAUGAUUAAAGGUAUUCCGGUAGACGAUGGGGAUGCGUUCCAUUAGAUAGUAGGCGGGGUAACGGCCCACCUAGUCUUCGAUGGAUAGGGGUUCUGAGAGGAAGGUCCCCCACAUUGGAACUGAGACACGGUCCAAACUCCUACGGGAGGCAGCAGUGAGGAAUAUUGGUCAAUGGGCGAGAGCCUGAACCAGCCAAGUAGCGUGAAGGAUGACUGCCCUAUGGGUUGUAAACUUCUUUUAUAAAGGAAUAAAGUCGGGUAUGCAUACCCGUUUGCAUGUACUUUAUGAAUAAGGAUCGGCUAACUCCGUGCCAGCAGCCGCGGUAAUACGGAGGAUCCGAGCGUUAUCCGGAUUUAUUGGGUUUAAAGGGAGCGUACAUGGAUGUUUAAGUCAGUUGUGAAAGUUUGCGGCUCAUCCGUAAAAUUGCAGUUGAUACUGGAUAUCUUGAGUGCAGUUGACGCAGGCGGAAUUCGUGGUGUAGCGGUGAAAUGCUUAGAUAUCACGAAGAACUCCGAUUGCGUAGGCAGCCUGCUAAGCUGCAACUGACAUUGAGGCUCGAAAGUGUGGGUA
rnacentral:rRNA from 1 species